rnacentral:rRNA from 1 species
ACGGGGCGCAGCAGGCGCGAAACCUUUACACUGCACGCAAGUGCGAUAAGGGGACCCCAAGUGCGAGGGCAUAUAGUCCUCGCUUUUCUCGACCGUAAGGCGGUCGAGGAAUAAGAGCUGGGCAAGACCGGUGCCAGCCGCCGCGGUAAUACCGGCAGCUCAAGUGAUGACCGAUAUUAUUGGGCCUAAAGCGUCCGUAGCCGGCCACGAAGGUUCAUCGGGAAAUCCGCCAGCUCAACUGGCGGGCGUCCGGUGAAAACCACGUGGCUUGGGACCGGAAGGCUCGAGGGGUACGUCCGGGGUAGGAGUGAAAUCCCGUAAUCCUGGACGGACCACCGAUGGCGAAAGCACCUCGAGAAGACGGAUCCGACGGUGAGGGACGAAAGCUAGGGUUUCGAACCGGAUUAGAUACCCGGGUAGUCCUAGCUGUAAACGAUGCUCGCUAGGUGUGACACAGGCUACGAGCCUGUGUUUGUGCCGUAGGGAAGCCGAGAAGCGAGCCGCCUGGGAAGUACGUCCGCAAGGAUGAAACUUAAAGGAAUUGGCGGG